rnacentral:rRNA from 1 species
AGAUUGAACGCUGGCGGCAGGCCUAACACAUGCAAGUCGAGCGGCAGCACGGGUACUUGUACCUGGUGGCGAGCGGCGGACGGGUGAGUAAUGCCUAGGAAUCUGCCUGGUAGUGGGGGAUAACGCUCGGAAACGGACGCUAAUACCGCAUACGUCCUACGGGAGAAAGCAGGGGACCUUCGGGCCUUGCGCUAUCAGAUGAGCCUAGGUCGGAUUAGCUAGUUGGUGGGUAAUGGCUCACCAAGGCGACGAUCCGUAAC